UACGUAGGGUGCGAGCGUUAAUCGGAAUUACUGGGCGUAAAGAGUGCGUAGGCGGUUUCUCAAGUCCGCUGUGAAAUCCCCGGGCUCAACCUGGGAAUGGCAGUGGAAACUAGGAGACUUGAAUCUGGCAGAGGGGGGUGGAAUUCCGACGUGUAGCAGUGAAAUGCGUAGAGAUGUGGAGGAACACCGAUGGCGAAGGCAGCCCCCCUGGGCUGAGAUUGACGCUCAGGCACGAAAGCGUGGGGAGCAAAAGGG
rnacentral:rRNA from 1 species